UAAUUGUAUGAUUACUAAAUUGUCCCCGGCUAUAUCCUCUAAACCACCAGCCCAGUUCUUUCUUAUUCAGUGUCGAGUUCUCUCGAACUCUCUUCAUCUCUCUCGGCUCUUCUCUCUCUCUCUGGUACUCUCUCCCUCCUCACUCCCUCUUCCUUUUUCGUGUCCGAUUCUCGAAUUGAGACCGGAUUUUUGUCUUGAAUCACUUCCUAAACUAUAUAGUUGUGGGUAUUGCUUGGUUUAUUAGAACCCACUUCGGGUUUAGUUCGAUUUUUGUGUUCUUGAAUUUGAUUCAUGGAAAAAUCUUGAUAAGAUGAUAACUUUGUAUGCAUAUUGGAUUUUGUAAAUUUUUAAAACAGAUUUAUGAGUUGGGCUUGAUUAAUAUUGAUUUGUUUUGAUGAUUGGGUUUAAGAUUAUGCAUACAAGUAUGAUGGUAUGCUUUUAGAAUGGUACUUUGAGAGUGUAAGUAGCGGAUUAAUGAUUUAGAACGUUAUAAAUUUGUAGACUGCUGCUGGGCUGUUUUUGUAGCAUAAUUUUGGGUUAAUUGAAUCGACUUUUGUGCCUAAUAUUUCUGUGAUAAGGUGUUCCUUGAUGUCUAUAUCAAGUACGAAAAAGAAUUUCGAUGUUUCAUUAUAUGAGCUAAAAGAUAUAGCCAUUUAAGUGACAUAUGUGCGAAAUUUUGUUGUGCUGUUGUGAUGCAUCUGUUGGAGUCAUUUUCUGGGUAAAUUAUGAUAUGCAUGAGCAGUAGUUUCUGGUCAUAUUAUAUGAUAAUUGGAGUCUAGUUUACUCUCCAAAAAGAAUCAUUGCAUUUAGAUUAAUGAGUUGGGAGUUAUGAUUAUUUUAGUGAGGUAUGUGCAAUAAGCAAAACUGCUCCGAUUUUUGAUUUUAUAAAUUAUAGUUAAAUUACUUUGACUUUGAUUUUUAAGCCAAAACAAACUUUGUAGCUACUUGGGGAGUUCAGGAAAGUCUCCUCAAAAUUUCAAGUGAAAAUCAUAUAUUUCUGAUUUAUUAAAAAUGUUUGAAUGUCGGUAGCGCAACUUUGUGAAAAUUCUGUUUUAAGGUCACAAAGAGAGUUUUCUUCACAAAUUCAAAUAUAUGAGUUGAGUUGUGAUUUAUUAGAGUAUAAAUGUGUAUUACUGGUUAUUGGUCAGUAGUUGUUAAUUUGUUUGAUUUAAAAUUUGAUUGGUUGGUUGUUGGUAUUAUUUUCAAACAGGUGGAUAGUCCGAUAAAUAGAAGAGAUGCUGCCGAAAUUUCUAAAAAUAUUAAUUUUCAAAAUCUUAUCAGCACAUCCCUCAAGUAUGGUCAUCACUACUAGUCGAGAAUAUUGUAUGGGGAUUUUGUUUUUAUUAGAAAAUAUGUACAAACAAACAAUACUAGUUAUACAUGUAAUUUGGCGUAAAAUCUUUUCGAAGAUAGAUUUAUUUUUUUAGAUGUAUGUUAGUGGCUAUGGUAUGUGACUACUAUGUGUAGCAUGCUUAAGUGAUAUAUGCUUAUAUGCUUUAUAUAUGUUCCAAUGUGUAUGUGUACUCUUACUAGCCUAUGUGAUUAAAGGCAGUCAAUAAUAUUUAUAAUUAUCGAAAGGGUAUAUAUAAGUAGACGUUCAGGGUGAACGUCGAUUGAUUAUUAGGAUACUAAAAUAGUGUCUCUACGCGUGUAGAUUCAAAAGACGAGACUGUGAAACUUAGGAAAGGAAAGGCUUUGUUAGGUGACAGUUAGAGAAUUACUUGGCCAAGUGGGAAGCGAGUUGAGGCAAGUAACUUUCCUCUCUCUCUCUCUCUCUCAAGCAGCUUAUUGAUAAAUGAUAAUAAGUACUGUCACCCCUGAUCUACUUUUUGGAUUAUAAAAGCCUGAUUUCCUUUCUUAUUGAAUAUAAUGUCUCACUUUUGAAUACAAAUUCGUUCAUGAAGUUCAUGCUUUUGUAUCCAGUAUAUUUUUAUCCUCAAAUAUUUAUCUUUUGAUCGAAGAAUAUUUCUUUUCCAUAUACUUGACCACCACAAGUAAAUGGAACUGGUAUCUGUAAAUGAAACUAAGAAUGGUUUUAGACUUGCAAGUGAUUGCAAGUGUCAUAAUGAUUUGAAAGGUUGAUAAGGUUUUAAAAUGAAAGAUAUUUUUAAAGAAGAAAGUUUUCCAAUUUAAUGGUUUUCCACGGAAUUCUAUAGAUUGGAGGCGUAAGUGGCCGAGUAACGCCGGUCCAGCUAUAUGAUUAUGAAGACCAGUGAGGGCUGGCACAUUAUGAAGACCAGUGAGGGCUGGCAUUUGAAAGGCCAAAUAAGUUGCCUUUCGGGUACCCUAUUCACGUCCAGAGGGACUGUAAAGUCCGGUAUGGGGAUUGUACGUGGCUGAUCACCCGUGCAAUCCAGAGCGUUAUACACUCCAAUCAAGUAAAAUAUUUUAUGAAAAGAAAUGUCCAAGUGUUGGACGGUUUUGAAAAUGAGAUAGUUUUUGUGAUGGAAAAAUAAAGUUUUGAUGAAAGGAUUGAUUUGAAGGAAAAUGUUAUGAAAAGGGUAAUUUUACGAAAGUUUUGAAAAGAGAAAUGUUUUAUGAAUUAUUCAUUUACAAAAAUGGUUUUUAUGUAAUGAUCUUGUACUUUUAAUCUCUAUUAUGACCUUUGUAACUUUAGUCCAUAAUCGAAAGCUCUCCAUCUUAUUUUGUUGAAUAGUUUAAUUUAUUUGUUCCUUAUAGUUAUUUGCUGAGCUUUUGUAGCUCAUUCGGUUGUUUAUCUAACCCUGACAGCUAAGCAAGAGGAAGAUGGCCAGUCCUAGGUGCUCAGUUCGUUAGGCUGUCUACAUCCCCCUCUCUAUUUCGUUAGAUUACUUUACCAGCUCAGCUAGAGGACGCUUUGGAUAUAGUCAGUGGGGAGUAAGUAUGUUAGUAUGGACCGUUGUAAACAGUACCUUUGAGAUGUUUUAUAUAAUUCCAAGUCGGAAUUAUGGUUGAUGCUAUUUAUUAAGAGUUUGUAAUAAGUUUAUAACUUAUUAUUUUGGUUAGUAGUUGUAACUUGUUUCAUACCAUCACCUGUUAAAGAUCCUUGUGGUGUAAAGGGGUUGAGUAUUUAUAUUGCUAAAUCCAGGUUGUGCAUGUUAAAGUUGAUUUGUGACUCCUCAAUCUAGACCCCGGAU
rnacentral:lncRNA from 1 species